rnacentral:ncRNA from 1 species
GUUAGCCCAGGUCCAAGUCUGGAGAUGGUCAUCCAAGGUAAGUGUGUCCAUAGGACACCGCCAUUCCCAAAAGAGGCUUGGUCUUAGGGUGGAGGC